GACAGAGGCCUCGAGCGUUAGGCGGAAUCACUGGGCUUAAAGCGUGUGUAGGCGGAUCGUUAAGUGCCUUGUGAAAUCCCACGGCUUAACUGUGGAACGGCUGGGCAUACUGGCGGUCUUGAGCCAUCUAGGGGCGACUGGAACAAACGGUGGAGCGGUGAAAUACGUAGAUAUCGUUUGGAACGCCAAUGGUGAAAACAGGUCGCUGGGGAUGCGCUGACGCUGAGACACGAAAGCCAGGGGAGCAAACAGG
rnacentral:rRNA from 1 species